CAAAACACAGGGGCUACACAAGGGUUCCCCACAAACCCAAGUUCAUGCAAUUUUCCCUCAAAUUGAAGGCCCUAAUCAGUUCCAAAUCGAUUUUUAAGCACAAAUUCGUGAUCAUCUCGUUGAAGGGAUCAUAAGGCAAAGUAUCCGGAUCGUCGAGUGGACAAGCCGAAGGGGAUACGCGCUUGAAAGGGGUGCUCUAAAGGUAAUGCUCAUUUCUUUUCGGAUGCCGAUCAAGCAAGAAAGCAAGAACCAAACACAAGUUUUGAAGCUUCCGCACUAAUCUAAUCAUGUUUAGACAAUGUUGUUUUGUAACCACCACUAAAUGUCAGAUGUUUUAAACUAGAUAGUUGGUUAUGUUAAAACA